rnacentral:rRNA from 1 species
ACGGAGGUGGCGAGCGUUAUUCGGAUUUACUGGGCGUAAAGCGCGUGUAGGCGGUCUGGCAAGUCGGAUGUGAAAUCCCCGGGCUCAACCCGGGAAGUGCAUUCGAAACUGCGGGACUUGAGUACGGUAGAGGAUGGUGGAAUUCCCGGUGUAGAGGUGAAAUGCGUAGAUAUCGGGAGGAACACCAGUGGCGAAAGCGGCCAUCUGGACCGUUACUGACGCUCAGACGCGAAAGCCUGGGGAGCAAACAG